rnacentral:sRNA from 1 species
CAGAAGCUUUUGGAGCUGAUAACAACUGUUUAGUUUAUUUCUUCUUGUUUAGUUUAUUUGCUUUACUUGUUAGCAGAGAUAAACUCUUAUUGAUAUUAGUGAGUAUUGAAUUUGUGAUACAGAUAUACAGUAAACAAAGGAUCUUUCUUCCUAUCAUAUUCUCAUUGAUUUGGAAAUUUUACGCUGUACCCAUACUUUGCAUUAUAAGAGACUAGCAAUGGAUCCAGAGUCCUUGCCAGGAAACUGUAUCAAUCAAGAACAGUUCCGAAUUUACGUUGGAAAAGAAUCUUUCACGAGUAUGAUAGAUUGGGAAUCUCACAAUGUUACAGAAUGUGUCCAACAUGGGGAGUGUCCCUGUUGUUUUGUGCUAGUCUGAUGCCAGAAUGUUCUUUUUAUUCAUUUUUAUUUUCAUAUAGUUGAAAAUCAAACAGUACAUUGUUCUGUGUGGGUUGAUAUGUAGCUGUUAAGUUAUAAUAAAGUGCCAUUUGUU